rfam:Heterocephalus glaber contig117543, whole genome shotgun sequence.
GAGGAUUUAGCUCAGUGGUUCUGCCGCCUGCCUCGCAAGCAGGAGGACCCGAGUUCGAUCCUCGGUACCCCCC